rnacentral:tRNA from 1 species
UUAAUUGAAGCCAAAGAGAGGCAUAUCACUGUUAAUGAUAAUAAUGAUAAUUAAUUAUCCUUUUAAA